UACGUAGGGGGCAAGCGUUAUCCGGAUUUACUGGGUGUAAAGGGAGCGUAGACGGUGAAGCAAGUCUGGAGUGAAAGCCCGGGGCCCAACCCCGGGACUGCUCUGGAAACUGUAUCACUAGAGUACAGGAGGGGCAGGCGGAAUUCCUGGUGUAGCGGUGAAAUGCGUAGAUAUCAGGAGGAACACCGGCGGCGAAGGCGGCCUGCUGGACUGAGACUGACGUUGAGGCG
rnacentral:rRNA from 1 species